rnacentral:rRNA from 1 species
UACGGAGGGGGCUAGCGUUGUUCGGAUUUACUGGGCGUAAAGCGCACGUAGGCGGACUUUUAAGUCAGGGGUGAAAUCCCGGGGCUCAACCCCGGAACUGCCUUUGAUACUGGAUAGCUAGAGUAUGGUAGAGGUGAGUGGAAUUUCAGGUGUAGCGGUGAAAUGCGUAGAGAUCUGAAGGAACAUCAGUGGCGAAGGCGACUCACUGGGCCAUUACUGACACUGAGGUGCGAAAGCGUGGGUAGCAAACAGG